AUUGAACGCUGGCGGCAUGCUUUACACAUGCAAGUCGAACGGUAACAGGCCGCAAGGUGCUGACGAGUGGCGAACGGGUGAGUAAUGCAUCGGUACGUGCCCAGUCGUGGGGGAUAACGCAGCGAAAGCUGCGCUAAUACCGCAUACGAUCUAUGGAUGAAAGCGGGGGACCGAAAGGCCUCGCGCGAUUGGAGCGGCCGAUGUCAGAUUAGGUAGUUGGCGGGGUAAAGGCUCACCAAGCCGACGAUCUGUAGCUGGUCUGAGAGGACGACCAGCCACACUGGGACUGGGACCCUUCCCAGACUCCUACGUGAGGCAGCGGUGGGGAAUGUUGUACAAUGGACGCAAGCCUGAUCCAGCACUUCCGCGUGCGGGAAGAUGGCCUUCUGGUUGUAAACUGCUUUUGUACGGAACGAAAAGGCUCUGGUUAAUACCUGGGGCUCAUGACGGUACCGUAAGAAUAAGCACCGGCUAACUACGUGCCAGCCGCCGCCGUAACAC
rnacentral:rRNA from 1 species